UGUGUGUGUAUGUAAUGCAGUGUGUGUGUGUUUGUGUAGUGUGUAUGUAUGUAAUGCAGUGUGUGUUUGUGUAGUGUGUAUGUAAUGCAGUGUGUGUGUAUGUGUAGUGUGUAUGUAAUGCAGUGUGUGUGUAUGUAAUGCAGUAUGUGUACUGUGUUUGUGUAGUGUGUAUGUAAUGCAGUGUGUGUAUGUAAUGCAGUGUGUGUGCAGUGUAGUGUGUGCAGUGUGUGUCUGUAAUGCAGUAUGUGUGCAGUGUGUGUUUGUGGUGUGUGUAGUGUCUGUCUGUGUAGUGUGUGUAUGUAAUGCAGUGUGUGUGCCUGUGUAGUGUGUAUGUAAUGCAGUAUGUGUGCAGUGUGUGUUUGUGUAGUGUGU